rnacentral:rRNA from 1 species
AGGACGAACGCUGGCGGCGUGCUUAACACAUGCAAGUCGAGCGGAAAGGCCCUUCGGGGUACUCGAGCGGCGAACGGGUGAGUAACACGUGAGGAACCUGCCCUAGACUUUGGGAUAACCCUCGGAAACGGGGGCUAAUACCGAAUACGACACGGUCUCGCAUGAGAUCCGUGUGGAAAGUUUUUCGGUCUGGGAUGGUCUCGCGGCCUAUCAGCUUGUUGGUGGGGUAAUGGCCUACCAAGGCGACGACGGGUA